UCAUCUUCGGGGGUAGAGCACUGUUUCGGCUAGGGGGUCAUCCCGACUUACCAACCCGAUGCAAACUACGAAUACCGAAGAAUGUUAUCACGGGAGACACACGGCGGGUGCUAACGUCCGUCGUGAAGAGGGAAACAACCCAGACCGCCAGCUAAGGUCCCAAAGUCAUGGUUAAGUGGGAAACGAUGUGGGAAGGCACAGACAGCCAGGAUGUUGGCUUAGAAGCAGCCAUCAUUUAAAGAAAGCGUAAUAGCUCACUGGUCGAGUCGGCCUGCGCGGAAGAUGUAACGGGGCUAAACCAUGCACCGAAGCUGCGGCAGCGACACUAUGUGUUGUUGGGUAGGGGAGCGUUCUGUAAGCCGUUGAAGGUGGCCUGUGAGGGUUGCUGGAGGUAUCAGAAGUGCGAAUGCUGACAUAAGUAACGAUAAAGCGGGUGAAAAGCCCGCUCGCCGGAAGACCAAGGGUUCCUGUCCAACGUUAAUCGGGGCAGGGUGAGUCGACCCCUAAGGCGAGGCCGAAAGGCGUAGUCGAUGGGAAACAGGUUAAUAUUCCUGUACUCGGUGUUACUGCGAAGGGGGGACGGAGAAGGCUAUGUUAGCCGGGCGACGGUUGUC
rnacentral:rRNA from 1 species